rnacentral:rRNA from 1 species
AUUGAACGCUGGCGGCAUGCUUUACACAUGCAAGUCGAACGGUAACAGGCCGCAAGGUGCUGACGAGUGGCGAACGGGUGAGUAAUGCAUCGGAACGUGCCCAGUCGUGGGGGAUAACUACUCGAAAGAGUAGCUAAUACCGCAUACGAUCUAUGGAUGAAAGCGGGGGACCGUAAGGCCUCGCGCGAUUGGAGUGGCCGAUGUCAGAUUAGGUAGUUGGUGGGGUAAAGGCUCACCAAGCCAACGAUCUGCAGCUGGUCUGAGAGGACGACCAGCCACACGGGGGCUGAGACACGGCCCAGACUCCUACGGGAGGCAGCAGUGGGGAAUUUUGGACAAUGGGCGCAAGCCUGAUCCAGCAAUGCCGCGUGCAGGAAGAAGGCCUUCGGGUUGUAAACUGCUUUUGUACGGAACGAAACGGCUCUGGUUAAUACCCGGGGCUAAUGACGGUACCGUAAGAAUAAGCACCGGCUAACUACGUG